rnacentral:lncRNA from 1 species
UAGUAUAAGAUUACCCUUCUUUGGGUUUAUAUACCACAACACUCCCAAACACUUGACUUUAAUCGAUGAUCUUGAUUAUUUUUAGCGGUUGUUUCUGGAGAGCUAACCGAAGACAAACACCAGUAGAUGAGUUCGUUAAUGUUAAUGAUGUUAAUGUACUAUGAGACAACACAAAGGGUCUGUCUUUUUUGCAUACCAAAAUGGUGGGACAACAUUUCUUUGGGUUGCCAGUAAUGUUAAUGUUCUUUUCUUUGACAUUGUCAGAGACUGGAGUGUUUUUAUCUUGGUUGCAUAGAAAGUUUGCCCAGACUUUUGCACGUCGAUAUCUUGGUUAUGCAUGUUUAUGAAUCAUGUCCGUUGUCAAUCCGACUUUGAAGUUUAUUUCAGUUCUCCCUGUUUAUCUGCUUCACAGUUCCAGUUAGCCAUAUAUCUGUACUCGUUUCGUAAUAUGUUAAACUAUACGUGGAAAAUGAUACAACAGACACUUUGUUGAGUAUGGAUACAAGGUUUAAACCAAUAUAUACACAGCACUGUUGCUCUGUUGGCUCUUUCACAGUUCAUAUCGCCUCGGAACUCUUGUUGUAGCCGUUUUGGAACACCAGCGAUAUUUUGGUUAAAAUUUUCGAGAUAGCUAUAGUCCACGAUAAUGGUAUAGUUCAACUGUCAAUGUCAAUCCAAAAUGACAGAGCCAGAUGUUGUUUGUAAUGCAUUUUAAUUACCAAAUGAAUGUUAGGCAUUACUCAAUGAAAUUCUUUUCCAAUUUGUGGCAAUUCAUUUCUCACUCCGGCAUGUAGGCAAUUAGGUGUAGGGAAAUUUUCUUGCUUUCUUCCCAUGUUUUUUAUCAUAUUUCAAAGAGACGGUAUAUAUUCUUUGCCACAUCAAAACAUACACUUGAGAAGGACUGGUCACUCAUGACAGAGACCUGAUACAGGCCGGUUAAUGAUCCUGAUUGAACGGUCCCGUGUGAAUACAUAGGUAUCUUCACUCCCACUAAGAUUUUAUACUGUUCAUACCAAGUGUUUGUUGAAUGUUGGCCACUUAAGAUAUCAUGUCCACCGUGGUAUUGGUAAGUGAAAAUGAGAAAGACCAGGAAAAAAGAUUUAGGAAACAACGUCAAGACAGACGUUAGGAAAACAACAUCAAUAUAUUGCAAAGGAUAGACCUAGAGAAGGAUUCGGUCGACUGACUCUGGAUGAUUAAGGUUCAAGGGGAAAAGAAGAAUUAAGAUCAAAUGUUUGGCAGAAUGUUGUGAUUAAGAUUAAUGAUAAAAUUAAAUUGCAAAUGAGAAAAAGUGUUUAUCACAAGCUGAAUUUUGUUCAUCACUUGGGGCUUUUGCUGGAAAAUAGAUUGUUUGAAAUUAAUUUUUGUUCAAAUAAAGUUUUGGUAAACAAUGUGGCAACAAAUUUAAAGCUUGUUGAAGAGAAGACAAUUAUUAAAUUUAUAUUUUGUGGUAUAAAUCACGCAUGUGCUGCAGCACGUCAUCGGAUCGCUGGUUUUAUUUAUUAUUUUCUUAUGGUCUAAACUACUUGACUCUGUUUUAGUAAACGUUUGAAUAAUAGGAUUACAAUACCUAUUACCUACUAUUCUAACUACAAUUGUGUCUACCGAUAUAUAAUAUAUAUAAAGUUGAUGAAUAUAAAGUGUAAUAGUGGAUGGUUAUAUUAGCACAUGCAUGUGCAGAUAAUGCACAGUAAUCAGUAUAGUGUAUAGUGCAUAUAAAUUGAUUACAUGUACCAUGAUUGAUAAUCGUGGGUUAAUUGACAUGCAUGUAUAGCACUAUAAAUAUUAUCCAUUAAUUUACAAUACUGACCAUACAAUAUAAGUACAUUAAAUACAGUGGUGACGGAACCAGGGGAACCGCGGGGGCACUACUCCUCCCCCACCCCCCUCAAGAUUUUGUUAGGGGAAAUCCCAGCGCAAAAUUUGAAUUAAUAUUUGGGACUACCGAAUAUUAAUUCAAAUUACCCCGCCAGAUAGGACAUGCACGUUGGCGUUUUGAUUAAAAAUAUGCCCUUCCCCAACUAAAGACCAGGCCAAAAUUGCCACUCGUUCCGCCGCCCCUGAUGUAAAGUACAUGAUUGCAAAAGUUCAGUUGUCAAAGAUUUUUACCGAUUUUUAAGCACACUUUAAUUUUUAACAACGAAUAUUUAUAGUUUAGGUUAAAGUUUUUU